GUAAUUAAAAAAUGCAAUUAAAAAAUGCAAUUAAAAAAUGCAAUUAAGAAAAAAAUAAAAUAAUAACAUAACAAAGCAUGUAUAUAUGCAUAUAUAUUUGUGUAUAGAUAGAUACACAGAUAUAAAAAUAAUAUUAUUAAAUAUAGUAAAAUAGUAUAUAAUGUUUAAAAUUAAAUAAGCUUUAAAAAAAAACCUUUUUGAGAAGAGUGCGGAAGUAGUAAUAAAUAUGGAUGUUGAAUAUGUUGAAGAAAAUGGUAUUGAUAGUCUACUGGAGACAUUAAAUGUAAAUUACGAGGAAUGCACAAAAUAUGAUGCAUAUAUUGAAGCAGAAAUUAAAGAAGAUCUAGCUGAUAGCCAUACGUUUGAAGAAACAAAAGUUUAUAACGAAAAUAUAAAAAAUAACAAAAGCAGUAAUAGCAUGAGUUGUACUAAUAGUAAACAUGAAAAUAAAAAUAAAAAUAAAAAUGAUAAAAAAAAACAUAAAUCAAAUAGAUAACAUAAAAAAUGUUAUUUUUACAAAAAAAAAUACAAAUGAUUAUAAUAAUAAAAAAUGUUCCAUUAAUAAUCCUAGGGGAAAUCAACAGAAUGUGUUCAGAAAUAUAAAUGUUAAGAAAAAAAGAAUAAUGAUCAGUAGUGAUGAGUCUGAUGAAAACGAAGAUAUGUGUUCUGUAAAAAAAAUAGUUGAUUAUGUUAAAAAACGAAAAAUUAAAAAAAACGAAAUGACCCCAAAAAAUAAUAAUAAUUAAAGGAGUAAACACAAGAGAUAGACAUAAAUAUAUAUGUGCUUAUAUACAAGUGUUGAAAUUUUUUUUUCUUAUUUUUCAAUUGUUACCAAAAAAAAAAGAAAGAAAAGUGUAUAUAUAUAUAUAUAUAUAUAUAUAUAUUAGUUAAACGCAAUGUACACGGAUGACUUGACAUAAAAUAGCUAAUUUUAAAAUUUUUUUUUUGUUUUUGUUUUUAUAAAUAUAAACUAAAAAAAAAUUAAAAAAAAACGAAUAAUAAAAUAACAUAAUACAAUAUAAUACGCA
rnacentral:lncRNA from 1 species